UACGAAGGGGCUAGCGUUGCUCGGAAUCACUGGGCGUAAGCGCACGUAGGCGGCUUCUUAAGUCAGGGGUGAAAUCCUGGAGCUCAACUCCAGAACUGCCUUUGAUACUGAGGAGCUCGAGUCCGGGAGAGGUGAGUGGAACUGCGAGUGUAGAGGUGAAAUUCGUAGAUAUUCGGCAAGAACACCAGUGGCGAAGGCGGCUCACUGGCCC
rnacentral:rRNA from 1 species